rnacentral:rRNA from 1 species
GUGAGGAAUAUUGGUCAAUGGACGAGAGUCUGAACCAGCCAAGUAGCGUGAAGGAUGAAGGUUUAUGGAUUGUAAACUUCUUUUAUACGGGAAUAACGAAUCCACGCGUGGAUUUUUGCAUGUACCGUAUGAAUAAGGAUCGGCUAACUCCGUGCCAGCAGCCGCGGUAAUACGGAGGAUCCGAGCGUUAUCCGGAUUUAUUGGGUUUAAAGGGAGCGUAGAUGGGUUGUUAAGUCAGUUGUGAAAGUUUGCGGCUCAACCGUAAAAUUGCAAUUGAUACUGGCAGUCUUGAGUACAGUUGAGGUAGGCGGAAU